rnacentral:lncRNA from 10 species
GUAUGUACAUGUGUGUGUGUGCGUGUGCGUGUGUGUAUGUGUACAUGCCUUCUUCCCUACUUCACUGGCAAGGGAAGAGACUGACACUUGGGUUAGGAGAAGGAUGUUGACCUGGGAGGGGUCAAAUAAGGAGAACCCACAUCUUAGAUGCUCAGGAUUUUAUGAUCUUAGGCUCUUCUAGAAUUGCUGUACAGUUAGAUUCAGAGUUUGGAAUUAGAGAUCUCUGGGCCCUCCCCUCCCCUCCCGUCCCC